AGUGCAGUAGAGGUAAGUGGAACUCCAUGUGUAGCGGUGGAAUGCGUAGAUAUAUGGAAGAACACCAGUGGCGAAGGCGGCUUACUGGACUGCAACUGACGUUGAGGCUCGAAAGUGUGGGUAGCAAACAGGAUUAGAUACCCUGGUAGUCCACACCGUAAACGAUGAACACUAGGUGUUAGGAGGUUUCCGCCUCUUAGUGCCGAAGCUAACGCAUUAAGUGUUCCGCCUGGGGAGUACGACCGCAAGGUUGAAACUCAAAGGAAUUGACGGGGACCCGCACAAGCGGUGGAGCAUGUGGUUUAAUUCGAAGCAACGCGAAGAACCUUACCAGGUCUUGACAUCCUUUGAAGCUUUUAGAGAUAGAAGUGUUCUCUUCGGAGACAAAGUGACAGGUGGUGCAUGGUCGUCGUCAGCUCGUGUCGUGAGAUGUUGGGUUAAGUCCCGCAACGAGCGCAACCCUUAUUGUUAGUUGCCAGCAUUCAGAUGGGCACUCUAGCGAGACUGCCGGUGACAAACCGGAGGAAGGCGGGGACGACGUCAGAUCAUCAUGCCCCUUAUGACCUGGGCUACACACGUGCUACAAUGGCGUAUACAACGAGUUGCCAACCCGCGAGGGUGAGCUAAUCUCUUAAAGUACGUCUCAGUUCGGAUUGUAGUCUGCAACUCGACUACAUGAAGUCGGAAUCGCUAGUAAUCGCGGAUCAGCACGCCGCGGUGAAUACGUUCCCGGGUCUUGUACACACCGCCCGUCACACCAUGGGAGUUUGUAAUGCCCAAAGCCGGUGGCCUAACCUUUUAGGAAGGAGCCGUCUAAGGCAGGACAGAUGACUGGGGGAAGUCGACAGAGCGCCC
rnacentral:rRNA from 1 species